UAGUCAACCUAUGGCACGGGUGCCAAAGGCAGCACGUGAGCUGAUUUUCAGUGGCACUCACAUUGCCCCGGUUCUGGCUACCAGUCUGGGAAGGCUCUGUGGGG